UACGUAGGGUGCGAGCGUUGUCCGGAAUUAUUGGGCGUAAAGAGCUCGUAGGCGGUUUGUUGCGUCGACUGUGAAAUCCUGCAGCUUAACUGUAGAAGUGCCUUCGAUACUGAUGGUCUGGAGGGAGAUAGGGGUGUGUGGAACUUCCAGUGGAGCGGUGAAAUGCGUUGAUAUUGGAAGGAACGCCGGAGGCGAAAGCGACGCACUGGAUCUCUUCUGACGCUGAGGCGCGAAAGCUAGGGGAGCAAACGGG
rnacentral:rRNA from 1 species